rnacentral:misc_RNA from 1 species
AACGGUCUAUACCUGCGGUACCUGCGGAAGGAUCAUUACCGAGUUUACAACUCCCAAACCCCAUGUGAACAUACCUGUUUCGUUCCCUCGGCGGUGUCCGGCAACGGCCCGCCAGAGGACCCAACAAACUCUUUUGAAUUUUUCAGUAUCUUCUGAGUGAAAAAAACAAUAAAUCAAAACUUUCAGCAACGGAUCUCU